rnacentral:rRNA from 1 species
UACGUAGGUGGCGAGCGUUGUCCGGAUUUAUUGGGCGUAAAGCGCGCGCAGGUGGUUACGUAAGUCCGCUGUGAAAUCGCCCAGCUCAACUGGGCGAGGACGGUGGAGACUGCGUGACUGGAGGGACCGAGAGGCCGGUGGAAUUCCCGGUGUAGUGGUGAAAUGCGUAGAGAUCGGGAGGAACACCCAUGGCGAAGGCGGCCGACUAAGAAUACCCUGACGCUGAGGCGCGAAAGCGUGGGGAACGAACCGG